rnacentral:rRNA from 1 species
GGUUACUGCUAUCGGUGUUCGCCUAAACCAUGCGAGUCAUAUGUAGCAAUACAUGGCGUACUGCUCAGUAACACGUGGAUAACCUGCCCUUGGGUCCGGCAUAACCCCGGGAAACUGGGGAUAAUUCCGGAUAACGCACAUAUGCUGGAAUGCUUUAUGCGUCAAAUGGAUUCGUCUGCCCAAGGAUGGGUCUGCGGCCUAUCAGGUAGUAGUGGGUGUAAUGUACCUACUAGCCGACGACGGGUACGGGUUGUGAGAGCAAGAGCCCGGAGAUGGAUUCUGAGACAUGAAUCCAGGCCCUACGGGGCGCAGCAGGCGCGAAAACUUUACAAUGCGGAAAACCGUGAUAAGGGGACACCGAGUGCCAGCAUCAUAUGCUGGCUGUCCAGAUGUGUAAAAUACAUCUGUUAGCAAGGGCCGGGCAAGACCGGUGCCAGCCGCCGCGGUAACACCGGCGGCCCGAGUGGUGAUCGUGAUUAUUGGGUCUAAAGGGUCCGUAGCCGGUUUGGUCAGUCCUCCGGGAAAUCUGAUAGCUCAACUAUUAGGCUUUCGGGGGAUACUGCCAGACUUGGAACCGGGAGAGGUAAGAGGUACUACAGGGGUAGGAGUGAAAUCUUGUAAUCCCUGUGGGACCACCUGUGGCGAAGGCGUCUUACCAGAACGGGUUCGACGGUGAGGGACGAAAGCUGGGGGCACGAACCGGAUUAGAUACCCGGGUAGUCCCAGCCGUAAACGAUGCUCGCUAGGUGUCAGACAUGGCGCGACCGUGUCUGGUGCCGCAGGGAAGCCGUGGAGCGAGCCACCUGGGAAGUACGGCCGCAAGGCUGAAACUUAAAGGAAUUGGCGGGGGAGCACAACAACGGGUGGAGCCUGCGGUUU